rnacentral:rRNA from 1 species
AUACGUAGGUGGCGAGCGUUGUCCGGAAUUACUGGGCGUAAAGGGUGCGUAGGCGGUCCAUUAAGUCUGAUUUGAAAUACCAUGGCUUAACCAUGGGGGGCGAUUGGAAACUGGUGGACUUGAGCAUAGGAGAGGAAGGUGGAAUUCCAUGUGUAGCGGUGAAAUGCGUAGAGAUAUGGAGGAACACCAGUGGCGAAGGCGGCCUUCUGGCCUAUAGCUGACGCUGAGGCACGAAAGCGUGGGGAGCAAACAGGAUUAGAUACCCUGGUAGUCCACGCCGUAAACGAUGAGUACUAAGUGUCGGGGAGAAGUCCUCGGUGCUGAAGUAAACACAUUAAGUACUCCGCCUGGGGAGUACGGUCGCAAGACUGAA